AGACGAUACCAGGAGGUGCUGAGAGGAAAUUUUACCUUUUAAUAAAACUCAUGAAGGAUGUUGUUCUUGGCUUAUAUUUGUUGUACUUGUUUUGAAAAAAUACCUGUUGAAUAUGUACGAGAAACCUAAUAAAGAACUCAUAGGAUUGUUCCUAUGGUAAGGAAGUGGUAUAGGAUGGGGAGAACCAACAAUGCUUUUCCACUGGACAUGCACGUUUGGGUCUAUAGUAGACAGAGCUGCAACAGAAUAAACACUAUAUCCAGAGGUAUCUUCAGGUCAAAGUGCAAGUGUAUCAUGCUGCACAUGCAUUUUUGGGAUGUGUGCCUGGUCAGAUGAACCUUCCUUUGCAACUAGUCGUUAGAAUCUGGAGAUAUCAGGAGUGGGUACAUGACUGAAAACAAUGACUCCCUCUUUUCCAGAAUUUGCCAGUCACCAGAACAUCGGCAGUAUGUGUUGAG
rnacentral:lncRNA from 1 species